UACGUAGGGUGCAAGCGUUAAUCGGAAUUACUGGGCGUAAAGCGUGCGCAGGCGGUUAUGCAAGACAGAUGUGAAAUCCCCGGGCUCAACCUGGGAAUUGCAUUGGAUACUGGCAGGCUAGAGUGCGGUAGAGGAUGGCGGAAUUCCCGGUGUAGCAGUGAAAUGCGUAGAGAUCGGGAGGAACAUCUGUGGCGAAGGCGGCCAUCUGGACCAGCACUGACACUGAGGCACGAAAGCGUGGGGAGCAAACAGG
rnacentral:rRNA from 1 species